AAUUUGUGCAUAAGUAAAUACACACACACACACACACACACACACAUAUACGCACACACAGAGCAUAUAUAGGUCAUGCCGCACACUACGGAAAAUCCGAAGUAAAUAGCGAAAGGAACAAAGACUUUGGUCCGUUUAGUCAUCGCGUCGCCGAGCGUAUAUCAAUCUCCGGCGUUCUCUCAUCGCGUCCACGAUAGAUACACGUUAUUGACACCGCGAUUCAGUUGGCGCCAUAAUUCGUUUGAUCUCGCGGCUGUUGUCUCAGAUCGCCAAUCGGGAUUCGAGUUCGGGCAUUUUCGGCGAUCGGUGAAGGAAGUGGAAAUCGUGGAAGUUCGACGAGACCAGUCAGUCAAAAAUCGACCACAGUGCCGAAUGUUUCGAGCUCGCUCGCGAAUUUAAUCUAAGUACGUUACGAAUCUAAAUGUGUUACGAAAAGAUAGCUCAGGCAAUUACACUCAAGGCGUUGCUACAGUAGCUCAAGAUGUUUGCCCCAGGCGUAGCUACCGCGUGGCUCAGGAUAUUACUCCCACAGCGUCGCCACGAAUCCGGGCAUCUGUCCUUUAAACGUUCCGAGUGUAAUUCGUUCGUAAAAAACGUAAAUUAUGAAUAUUUUUCAUAACAAGAUUUUAUUAAGCGGUACUAAGCUUUGGUAUUGCAAGAUUGUUUCUUUUCAUAUUCGAUAUACUGAGGAGGAUAUUGUAACACUGCACAUAAAACUUAUCCGCAAGGGGAACAGCCUUUAUCAAAGAUAUUCAGACAUCGUCUCUGGAAGUUCCUGUGAGGAACUCAAGAAUAGAGGCUCUCAAGGCAAAAGAUCGACAACUCCUCACACGCGCUCGAGCUUUAGCCACGCAAGUCCUGCUCUGAGCCAACACAGGAAUAAGAGUAACCCCUUGUCGUCAGGCUGAAUGAUGGCCCUAGAUAUCAGAUCUUGUUCGCCUAAUGGAGGCUCACCAUCGUUCUCAGAUUCAAGAUCUCCGGCCUCCAAGCCUGUACCUUAAGUACGUGCCUUCACCGU